GAAGUCCUUGGAGAUUUUGCUUGCGGCAGCUGGAGUGCGAGGAGCUGCCUGGAGAUGAAGUGAUUGGCGGGCUCGCCUGGCUCAGAUGUUCUGUCUUCAGAAAAUACUUAAGCGGGUUUGAAUAUGUGUGCUGUGCAUUUGGAGUGCCUCUGUGUGGCUUCUGUCUGGGGACAGAUGUUCCGUCUUCAGAAAAUACGCUGGUUUGAAUAUGUGUGCUGUGCAUUUGGAGUGCCUCUGUGUGGCUUCCGUCUGGGAGCAGGCCGAGGGUGAAUCUCCUGGAUCGAUGUGCAGCGUAAUUUGGUAGAUUGAGCGUCCAGCCUUGCUGCGCUGUAGGGCCGGUGUGAUCAUCCAUGGCUGUGUCAUUCACUGAGCUGAUAAAAAUCCUCGGGAAAUUUCACAUUGCUUGCUGCCAGAUUACAUAGCUCAGAUCAGAUCACCAA
rnacentral:sRNA from 1 species